GGGUGAAAUAGAAGGAUGCUACACAGGAACUCAAGUCUACACAAAGAAAUAAUGACCAUUAAAGGAAAAAAUGUAAUGAAGUAUGAUGGAAAAUUGUCAGGAAUUUAAAAAUGUUUUCCAUUUGAUUGCUGAAGAACAUGAGUUUUGAAGACAUCGCAUAUGGACUUUUCAAAGACUAUAAAUGCUGAACUGCUUUGUGAAUCUUCAUGAGGAGGGAUACACUGGGGGAUCGUGUUCAGAUAUAUUUGGCCAUGAAACCCUUCAUUGAAUAGCAGCUCUCAGGAGGAGUGAAUCAAGGGAUGCAGUGUGGGAAACUGAUCACAAUGGACAAGUAACCUCAGUGAUGUAAAGGAUGCACAAUGUGUGAGUCGCCAAUUCUUCUUACUCUACCAUUUGCCUUCCUCAAGAAGCAAACACUACAAGGAGGCUAUUGCAGUAUCAAUGCUCUGGAGACGAGGUGGCGUGAAUUGUCAAGGCCAUUGCAUCGGACAACUCUAGGGCAAAAUUCUCAUUUUAUUCCAAGUGACUGGUGUCCCCAGAAGUUGUGGAAGAUGAAGGAUCUGAGAGCAAUAGUAGUAGAUGCGGUGAGAAGUGGUUGGAUUUAAGAUAUGUUUUGAAAGCUAAGCCAACAGAAUUUGUUUGAACUUGGAUUUUGAAUGUGAGAAAAGGAAUAAAGGAUGGUUCUAAUGUUUUGGCAGAAGCAUUGGGGUGAAUGGUGGUUCAUUUUUUGAAAUGAGGAACACUAUGAGAGAAGCAAGUUUUGACAGGGAUGGGAAAUAGAAUUCAAGUUUGGAUUUGCUAAGUAGUAGAUUCCUAUCUAAGUGUCCAGUUUGAUAUAAGACUCUGAUCUGAGGGCAUAUGGAAGAGUUAGAAGACAUGAAGAAUUCUCCUGCUGGACUGGAGGAGGUAGCCUGCUGUGUUGUGAGAGGAUCUGUGGAGGGGGCCAUGUGACAAAGACCUAGUGGCAUUCUCUGGGAGCUGAGAAGUUCCUGGCUGAAAGCCAGAAAGAAAACAUGUCCUCAGUCCUAUAGCUGCAAGAAAUGGCAUUUUUCAAACAAGAAUUGGUACUUUUAAAUACUGCUGGUGGGAAUGUGAAUUGGUACAAAACAUUUGUAAAACAGUUUGACAGUGGUACAUACAGCUAUCAUAUGAUACAACAAUUCCAUUCCUAAGUAUUUACUCAAGAGAAAGGAAAGCACGUGUUCCUAUAAAGACUUGUACAUCAAUGUUCAUAGCAGCUUCGUUGUAAUAAGCAAAAACUGGAUACAGCCCAAAUGUCCAUCAGCAUGCGAAUGAUUAAACCCACAGCUAUAUCGCCACACAACAGAUUACUUCUUAGCAAUGAAAAAAAAUGAACUACUGAUAGGCACUAUAACAAAUUAAUCUCAAAAUAAUUAUACUGAGUGAAAGAACCUAGGCCACAAAAAAUACGUAUUUUAUGAUUCAAUUAAUAUAAAAUCCUAGGAAAUGCAAAGUAAAGCAUAGUGACAAAAAGUGGCUUAGUGGGUGUCUGGGGACCAGAGAGGAGUGAUGAUAGGGUGGAGAGGGACAGGAGGUAGAAAUUAAUAAGAGGUGUGGGAAGC
ensembl:lncRNA